AAAGAACGCCUGCGGAAACUCAGAGUCAAAGUCAACAAAGAGGAGUGGGUAACUGGAGCUGCUGUUGUCAACGCAUUCUACUCAUCCAGCAAAAACCAAAUAGUUUUCCCUGCAGGUAUCCUGCAGCCGCCAUUCUUCAGCAAAGGCCAGGCUAAAUCUCUCAACUAUGGUGGCAUCGGCAUGGUG